rnacentral:lncRNA from 1 species
CAGAUGGUUUGGAGGGGAGAAAAAGAAAAGGCAGAGUGCCUAGAGUUUGACAUCUCCAAUAAAUUCCCAGGAGUCUGUUUUAUAAAUGUCAGCAUAUUUGUGGUGGUUCAUGCAGGUGCUUACACAGGACUUGUGGCCUUUCACCUAGCAUAAUUAACUUCCUUUUAUUUCACAAUGUUUACCAUUUCUUUCCUUAACCUUUUUGUUUUUACAGAGUGCUCUUGAAGGAAAACUCAGCAAGUUGCUCAAACACCUGCUUGCCAUGAGGCAAACACUGAGCUUCAUACUUGCCCCAGGACAGGAGUCCUGUGAGAAAGCUCAUCAGAUACUACCAACUGUUGUUUAUGCUAGAUUGCUAAAUCAUGUGACUAGAUGUCAUCAAUCUCUGGAGGAAUGCUGUAGCGACUUGCUUGUUUUGACACUUAUUGUACCAUCUGCACCUUGGGUAAAACUGGAGCACUCCUUGAGCCAAGAAUUCACUGUGGAGAAUGUACUUGCAAUAUUGCCUGCAUUUCCCAAGGGGGCCCCUCAGCAACGGGCCAAAAGGGCUGCAGAAACCCUGGUGAAAGCUUGUAAUUAUUCCAGAUUAAUGGCAAUGCAACAGAUACAUGCUCUGCAAGCUGAACUCAAUUUCCAUAGAAGCAUGUACAACCUCCAAGUUAAGUACACUGAAGCUGUUUUUGAGGGGAUAAAGCAAGCCUACCACACUUUUCAAGAGAAUGUUGUGUCAGUUCUAUGUUCACCGCUACAAGAUGUUCUUUCUUCUUACAUAAACCUUAAAGCGGAAACUUCAGUGGUUGCUUUAAGGGACUUUCUCACUGCUUUUAAAAACAAUGCCAAACAGAUCCAAGAUACAGUUGACACUUACACUCCAUCAAAGAAUCAGCAGCACAAAGGUGAUGAGGCCCUGUCAAGGUUUGGAAAAGAAUUCUUCCUCUCUUUGGAGCAUUCACUCAAAGACUGUGGGGAACAACGGGAUAAAGCAGCCAGCGAAAUGGAAACCUUACAAACUGAACUGGUACUGGCCUUUGAAAACCUUCAGAGCUUAAGAAAGGAACGAAAAGAGAAGAAAGCAGAAUCCAUUCCUCAUUUUACAAAGUCUGAAGGAGGGGAGAGUGCAGGAGGAGGAGCUGCAAGUGGCUUGGAUAUGAUUUCAAAAGAUAACCCAGUGCCAGAUUCAACACCUCUGCUGCCUCCACACAGUGAGAGUCUUUUGCCCAAACAUGUGUCUGUGAUGGCAGAAGCAUCUAGCAACUCAUCAGCCAAGCUGCAGCAGCAGAGUUCUAAGGGGUUAGCCCUUCACCAGAAGGGGAAGAGCUCCCACAGGAGUAAGAGCAUGAAGACCCCACUGCAAGGCCACCUUGGCAAGAUUAACCAUCACUUUAUCUUUAAUAUCUUUUUCUUCAAAAAUGGUCUGAGCUAGUUUGUAAUAUUCUGUGUUAUGAUGAACUCAGGGGCAAGGGGCAGUCCUGCAAGGUGUUGGGAAAAGAAUUAAGUCAAGGGGGCUGAGGGCAUUCAACACCUUGUAAAUGGUGUUGGAAAUCUCAUAGGGGGCCCGAUCAAAGCUCAUUGAAGUCAAUGACAGAAUUCCCAUCCAUGGGCUUUGGAUCAGGUCCUUAGUAUUCAUGCUAGAAUGCAUGAAACCAGGAGGACAGAAAUAGAGGGCUGGUGUUAAACUAGAAUGAAUAGCUUUUGAAGAGGUAAUAUCCGCACUCAGCACAUGGACUGUACUAAUGUUAUGCUGGAUGUAUGUGCUGUUUCAUCACAGAUGUGUUUUUACACUUUAUGAAGAUUAUAGAAUGACUAAAAAAAUAAAUCACUGGCACCAGGCUUGGUUUUGUUUCA